CGCAUGCUAAGCGACAUACGAGACAAGCAGCAAACUGUGUAACCUCCGCUCAUUUGGUUCCAGGGCAUACUGAGGAUGCCACCUGCAUAUUUUGCGAAACGUGAACAUAUGCACGUGUCGGAAGAAGAAAAUGAGCAGCAGAAUUUUAUCUUACUUUGCCACCAAUGCAGCUGAUCAGGAGUGACAGAAAGGAAUACUACGCUGUCAAUGCCGUCUGUUUGGCCCUGAUAUCCAACUGAUUGCCUCACAUCAUGGCUUGUUUCACGGUCGUCACAGCCAUCACCCUUCAGUUGCUGCUCGCCGACAUCGUCGACAGUGUACCCCUUUUCGGCGUACCCUGACAUGGCGAGCUUGUUCACUCUAGUUCAACCACAUUGGCAAAGUCUCGAGUAAAAACUGGCAACUUCUCUAUGCUGCUAAGUUUGCAUAUGUGAACUUCACUAGUUAUGUGAACUGUUGUGGCGGUAUGGCAGUUAGUUGCUUCUCUGAUGGUGAUGCAGGUUCGUGCUCAUUUGUCAUUAUACUCUAAAAUAUUGCAUUUCCUGUGCUUGCUGCUGUUCCUGUGGCCAGAAGUAUGAUUAUAUAUGUAUCCAUUGUUGACAUUUACGGCGUUAUAUUUUUGUGAGAAAUCGGUACCCGGUCAUAAUACUCGUUCUGAAUACCUUCGAAAAAUCAACUUCCCUCCUAAUAACUUCCGCAAACAAGUGAGUGUACUUUGCCACUUUUCCAAAGAUGCGCAGAACCACUCGCUACAGUGUAUCAAGUUAGAAGCUGCAUACCCUUUAUAUUCAAAGAAGUUGAAAAGCUAAAAUUAUUGGCACACACAAUACUAGAAAUGCUUAAAUGAAAAAUACUAGACAGUUGUGCAGAGCAGCGCAUAGCAAUCUAAAGAUGAACUUGAGCUCUCCUCUAGAUACAAACUAAUAAAAUCUGGACUGUAUGAACAAGAAUAGUGUUGUCAAGGCCGUUCAUUCAUUUAUGGCCCAAUGGACUAAAUGACAACAACGUGGUAAUCAACUGACAGAAAAUAGUUGCAGUGCCUUGUGUAUUCGUUUCGUUAUCAAUAUUUCUCGCUUGGUUGUGGCUGGGAGGUCACUGUUUUGCGUGAAUUACACUGAGCAGAUGCUCUACUGAUCGCGUUUCGCUUUUUCUGACCAGGCAUAGGCUACUUUAACUU